GCAGUAGGACAAAUGAUAACCGCUUCUGCUGGACUUGCUGGGGCAGUGUUUGGUCUUAUAGCAGAACAUGCAGGAGAUUCAACAGCAUGGGUUCUUCCAUUUACGUCAGGGGGAUUUAUCUAC